GACGAACGCUGGCGGCGUGCUUAACACAUGCAAGUCGAACGGUGAAGCGCCUUCCUUUUUGGUGGGUGUGGAUGAGUGGCGAACGGGUGAGUAACACGUGAGUAACCUGCCCCCUUCUUCUGGAUAACCGCAUGAAAGUGUGGCUAAUACGGGAUAUUCUGGGUCUGUCGCAUGAUGGGUCUGGGAAAGAUAUUGUUUCGGUGGGGGAUGGGCUCGCGGCCUAUCAGCUUGUUGGUGGGGUGAUGGCCUACCAAGGCGGGGACGGGUAGCCGGCCUGAGAGGGUGGCCGGUCACACGGGGAGUGGGACACGGCCCAACUCCGUACGGGGGGAGGGGGGGGGGAAUAUUGCACAAUGGGGGCAAGCCGGAGGCAGGGCGGCCGGGGGGGGGAGGGGGGCCUUGGGGUGGGGAACCUUUUUCGCCAGGGAAGCGGGCCGGCCUCGUUGGGGGGGGGGUGGACGGAAGCGGGAAAAAAAGCCCCGGCAAAUUACGG
rnacentral:rRNA from 1 species